GGUUAAGUGACUAAGCGUACAAGGUGGAUGCCUUGGC
rnacentral:rRNA from 1 species